ACAUUGUCACCUUUAUUUUUCCUGCUAUAUUUUACCCAAGAUAUGUUUACCUAUCAUAAUCGUACUGAAACAAUUAAUAAAAGUGAUACUUACUAGUGAGUAUUUACAUGCAUAUUUAUUGAUUUUGGAUGUCAUAUUGACAGGAGACAUAUCAUUCAAAACCAUAAAUCAUUUGAAUUAUUUGGACAUUUGGCUAGUUUUAUCCAUUGAUAGCCUUCUAUAUGGGCUGUCUAUGCUCAACGAGUAGACAAAAAUCAUCCGCCUUGAGUUUGGCUUUUACAAUGGCUAGCUAUUGAAGUUAAAGCAAGACUUUUCUGCCAAUCAACCUUUAUAACAGUGUUAUGUGUGUCCUCUAUCAUAUUCUAUAAAGGAAUUUGCAAGAGUGUCGAAUCAAUUCAUAGUACCCUAUGUUUCUUGUUAACUGCAAUUCUUGCUCAUUCUGGGCCUAAUUUUAUACAGGACUGAUAAUGCAAUCAAGAAUCACUGGAAUAGCUCUUUGAGGAAGAAAUUAGACUUUUAUUUAGCUACUGGAAACCUUCCACCUGCUACUAGGGAUGGCCUGCAAAAUGGUUGUAAGGACACUACUGAAACAGCUAAAGCUGAAGAGUCACUUGUAGCUUCAUCAGGAACUGCAGAUAUGUGUAAAAUAGUAAAUGGAUGGCAGAUCACAGAAAUCAGUGCUUCAAAUGGUGGUCCUCAAACUGUGUCGACUGAUUCUGAAGUCGUCAGGUUAGAAGCUCAAUCACCAGAAAUAGAUGCUAUUCGACACAUCAAACCAAUUACAGAAUCAGAAACCUUGUAUGAAGAACGGAGAAUAAACAGUGUUGUUGAUCGACUAAAAGUUAUUGAAGCACCAUUUCGUUGUGAAAUCCCUACAUAUGGUGCGUUAUACUAUGAACCACCAACAUCAGAAAGUUGCAUUUCGCAGGAUUCAGAUCUUGACGGAGUAUAAAUAGUGUUAUAGAUCGACUAAAAGUUGUUGAAGCACCAUUUCAUUGUGAAAUCCCUACAUGUGGUACAUUAUACUAUGAACCACCAACAUCAGAAAGUUGUAUUUCCCUGGAUUCAGAUCUUCUAAAUAUCCGCUGGGCACAAUGUGAAUCUGAUGCAAGCCCAAGCCCGUCACCAAAUGGUUUCUUCACUCCACCUAGUACAAAGGGUAGUAGCCUAUAUGCACAAACCCCUGAAUCCGUACUGAAAAUUGCUGCUAGAAGCUUCCCAAAUACGCCUUCCAUAUUAAGGAAGCAAAAGGCUCAAGCUAAACUUUUCACACCAACUAAUAAAAUGGGGAAGAAUACGCCUUCCAUAUUAAGGAAGAGAAAGAGUCAAGCUAAACUCUCCACACCAACUAAUAAAAUGGGGAAGUCAGACGGAGAUUUCUGCAAGGACAAACCUACUGAUGCGUGUAAAGAGAUC
rnacentral:lncRNA from 1 species